GACGAACGCUGGCGGCGUGCUUAACACAUGCAAGUCGAACGGAAAGGCCCUGCUUUUGUGGUGUGCUCGAGUGGCGAACGGGUGAGUAACACGUGAGUAACCUGCCCUUGACUUUGGGAUAACUUCAGGUAACUGGGGCUAAUACCGGAUAGGAGCUCCUGCUGCAUGGUGGGGGUUGGAAAGUUUCGGCGGUUGGGGAUGGACUCGCGGCUUAUCAGCUUGUUGGUGGGGUAGUGGCUUACCAAGGCUUUGACGGGUAGCCGGCCUGAGAGGGUGACCGGCCACAUUGGGACUGAGAGACGGCCCAGACUCCUACGGGAGGCAGCAGUGGGGAAUAUUGCACAAUGGGCGGAAGCCGGAUGCAGCAACGCCGCGUGCGGGAUGACGGCCUUCGGGUUGUAAACCGCUUUCGCCUGUGACGAAGCGUGAGCGACGGUAAUGGGUAAAGAAGCACCGGCUAACUACGUG
rnacentral:rRNA from 1 species